UACAGAGGGUGCGAGCGUUGUUCGGAAUUACUGGGCGUAAAGCGCGCGCAGGCGGCCUUUUAAGUCUCGUGGUGAAAUGCCGGGGCUCAACCCCGUGCCCGCCGGAGAUACUGGGAGGCUGGAGACAUGUAGAGGCAAGCGGAAUUCCGGGUGUAGCGGUGGAAUGCGUAGAGAUCCGGAAGAACACCGGAGGCGAAGGCGGCUUGCUGGGCAUUGUCUGACGCUGAGGCUCGAAAGCUAGGGGAGCAAACGGG
rnacentral:rRNA from 1 species